CACGUAGGCACCAAGCGUUGUCCGGAUUUAUUGGGCGUAAAGAGCUCGUAGGCGGUUCAGUAAGUCAGGUGUGAAAUCUUUGGGCUUAACCCAAAGCGUGCACUUGAUAAUGCUGUGACUUGAGUUCGGUAGGGGAGUGGGGAAUUCCUAGUGUAGCGGUGAAAUGCGCAGAUAUUAGGAGGAACACCGGUGGCGAAGGCGCCACUCUGGGCCGAAACUGACGCUGAGGAGCGAAAGCGUGGGUAGCAAACAGG
rnacentral:rRNA from 1 species